rnacentral:rRNA from 1 species
GUCCUUUUGAUUUUUAUUUAAGGUCUAACCUGCCCACUGAUUUAUUUAAUGGCCGCGGUAUUUUGACCGUGCAAAGGUAGCAUAAUAAUUUGUCUUUUAAUUGAAGGCUUGUAUGAAUGGUUGGACGAGAAAAUUACUUUCUUUAUAAUAUAAUUAUUAAUUUUAUUUUUUAGUUAAAAGGCUAAAAUUUUGUUGUAGGACGAGAAGACCCUAUAGAACUUUAUAUUUAUUUAUAUAUUAAUAUAUUUGGUUAAUUAUAUAUUGUAUUUUUAUAAAUAUUUUGUUGGGGCGACAAGAAAAUUUAUUUAACUUUUUUUUAUUAAUUUCAUUAAUUAAUGUUUAAAUGAUCCUUUAUUAUGGAUAAUUAGAAUAAGUUACCUUAGGGAUAACAGCGUAAUUUUUUUGGAGAGUUCUUAUCGAUAAAAAAGUUUGCGA